rnacentral:rRNA from 1 species
AUUGAACGCUGGCGGCAGGCCUAACACCUGCAAGUCGAGCGGAGCGGCGGACGGGUGAGUAAUGCCUAGGAAUCUGCUUGGCAGUGGGGGAUAACGUCCGGAAACGGGCGCUAAUACCGCAUACCAUCAGAUGAGCCUAGGUCGGAUUAGCUAGUUGGUGGGGUAAAGGCCUACCAAGGCGACGAUCCGCAACUGGUCUGAGAGGAUGAUCAGUCACAGUGGAGCGGCGACACGAUCCAGACUCCCACGUGAGGCAUCAGUGGGGAAUAUUGGACAAAGGGCGAAAGCAUGAUCCAGCCAAGCCGCGUGUGUGAAGAAGGUCUUGCGAUUGUAAAGCGCUGUAAGUUAAGAGGCGUUGCCAACAGAGUAAGCGCCGGCUAACUUCGUGCCAACAGCCGCGGUAAUUC